GACGAACGCUGGCGGCGUGCUUAACACAUGCAAGUCGAACGGAAAGGCCCCUUUGGGGGUACUCGAGUGGCGAACGGGUGCGUAACACGUGAGUAACCUGCCCUUGACUUCGGGAUAACUUCAGGAAACUGGGGCUAAUACCGGAUAGGAAUCCUUGCUGCAUGGUGGGGGUUGGAAAGCUUCGGCGGUUUUGGAUGGACUCGCGGCUUAUCAGCUUGUUGGUGGGGUAGUGGCUUACCAAGGCUUUGACGGGUAGCCGGCCUGAGAGGGCGACCGGCCACAUUGGGACUGAGAUACGGCCCAGACUCCUACGGGAGGCAGCAGGGGGGAAUAUUGCACAAUGGGCGGAAGCCUGAUGCAGCAACGCCGCGGGCGGGAGGACGGCCUUCGGGUUGUAAACCGCUUUCAGCAGGGGCGAAGCUUGUGGUGACGGUACCUGCAGAAGAAGCACCGGCUAACUACGUG
rnacentral:rRNA from 1 species